rnacentral:rRNA from 1 species
UACGAAGGGGGCUAGCGUUGUUCGGAAUCACUGGGCGUAAAGGGCGCGUAGGCGGCUGUUCAAGUCGGGGGUGAAAUCCUGUGGCUCAACCACAGAAUGGCCUUCGAUACUGGACGGCUAGAGACCGGAAGAGGUGAGUGGAACUGCGAGUGUAGAGGUGAAAUUCGUAGAUAUUCGCAAGAACACCAGUGGCGAAGGCGGCUCACUGGUCUGGUAUUGACGCUGAGGUGCGAAAGCGUGGGGAGCAAACAGG